rnacentral:rRNA from 1 species
UGGGGAAUAUUGGACAAUGGGCGCAAGCCUGAUCCAGCCAUGCCGCGUGUGUGAAGAAGGCCUUUUGGUUGUAAAGCACUUUAAGCGAGGAGGAGGCUACUUGGAUUAAUACUCUAGGAUAGUGGACGUUACUCGCAGAAUAAGCACCGGCUAACUCUGUGCCAGCAGCCGCGGUAAUACAGAGGGUGCGAGCGUUAAUCGGAUUUACUGGGCGUAAAGCGUGCGUAGGCGGCUUCUUAAGUCGGAUGUGAAAUCCCUGAGCUUAACUUAGGAAUUGCAUUCGAUACUGGGAAGCUAGAGUAUGGGAGAGGAUGGUAGAAUUCCAGGUGUAGCGGUGAAAUGCGUAGAGAUCUGGAGGAAUACCGAUGGCGAAGGCAGCCAUCUGGCCUAAUACUGACGCUGAGGUACGAAAGCAUGGGGAGCAAGCAGG